rnacentral:rRNA from 1 species
AGAGUUUGAUCUUGCUUCAGGAUGAACGCUAGCGGCGGGCUUAACACAUGCAAGUCGAGGAGCAGCAUGUCCAGCAAUGGAUGAUGGCGACCGGCGGAAGGGUGCGUAACGCGUGAGCAACAUGCCCUAUACAGGGAGAUACACCAGGGAAACUUGGUCUAAUAUCCCAUAGCAUUCAUUGAAGGCAUCUUUAAUGAAUUAAAGCUUCGGUGGUAUAGGAUUGGCUCGCGUGACAUUAGCCAGAUGGUGAGGUAACGGCUCACCAUAGCAAUGAUGUCUAGGGGUUUUGAGAGGAAGGCCCCCCACACUGGGACUGAGACACGGCCCAGACUCCUACGGGAGGCAGCAGUGAGGAAUAUUGGACAAUGGAUGGAAAUCUGAUCCAGCCAUGCCGCGUGCAGGAAGACGGCCUUAUGGGUUGUAAACUGCUUUUAUACGGGAGCAAUAAGGGUUACGAGUAAUCCGAUGAGAGUACUGUAUGAAUAAGGAUCGGCUAACUCCGUGCCAGCAGCCGCGGUAAUACGGAGGAUCCGAGCGUUAUCCGGAAUUAUUGGGUUUAAAGGGUGCGUAGGCGGCCAUUUAAGUCAGCGGUGAAAUUUUGCAGCUUAACUGUAACAGUGCCGUUGAUACUGUUUGGCUAGGAUUUGGUUGUAGUGUGCGGAAUGUGUGGUGUAGCGGUGAAAUGCUUAGAUAUCACACAGAACACCGAUUGCGAAGGCAGCACACUAAGUCAUUAUUGACGCUGAGGCACGAAAGUGUGGGGAUCAAACAGGAUUAGAUACCCUGGUAGUCCACACUGUAAACGAUGAUAACUCGCUGUCGGCGAUACACAGUCGGGGCCAAGCGAAAGC